rnacentral:lncRNA from 1 species
CGAGUGAUUUAGAGGUGAAUUCCAAAGGAAAAGCGGUGAUUGAGAAUUAAGUGGCCUUCGGAGCGAGGUAAGUGUCGUGUCUAACUUUGGCUUGAUGGAAUAUGUAUUAUGUGUUCAUUUGCUACGUGAUUGGUUGUUAAAUGUGAUGUAUAGGUGAGGGGACGAGCAUCUAUGCGUCGUUGUGGAGUCAUAGCAUGCGAGUAAAAUUCUAUUCUUGUUUAUUUUUUAACCUUAAAUCCUACUAUCCAUGCUUAGCGGGUUAUUUGAAAUGUUGGGUGACUCAUAUUUGGUAACUUUCGAAUAUUGAUUCGAGGUUGAGAUUACAUUGUGCUAUUGAUUAUGGGAAAAAUACUGGUUUCUUUGUGAUACCCUUAUCUAUCCGUUGUUAUUGAUUCUGUGAUUUGUGAGAAGGUGUGUAAAGCACGAAGGAUGAUGUCGUGCAUGCAUUAUUUAUAUUGUGCGGAAGAGUGUAAAGCACGAAGGGUGAUGCCGUGUAUAUUAUGAGAGGUUUAAAAGCAGGAAGGCUGAUGUCGUGCCGUUCUAUUUAUUUAUUUGGUGAGAUUGAGAGUAAAAGCACGAAGGGUGAUGCCGUGCAGUUUUCCUUUGCUGUUUUAAUUGCUCAAUUCGUUUACGGAUUUUUUGUUUAAUUCUGUCUUUUCAUUAUUCUCACUCUUUAUGUUGUAUUCCCCCACUGUAUGUUCCCUUCCCAUUAUUUUUGCGUUAUUGCUUUACUUACUGUUGUUGCCACUAGCAUGAUUAUACUGUUCAGGUUAUAUGUGGAAGUCUUGUCCUAGCCUCGUCACUACUUCACCGAGGUUAGGCUCGACACUUACCAGUACAUGGGGUUGGUUGUACUGAUGCUGCACUUUGCACUUUCUGUGCAGAUUUUGAUACCGGCUCAGGUUGAUCGAUAUUUGCUACUGGUCCGCUGUCCGGAGACUCAAGGUAGAUCUAUCGGCGUUCACAGACCUUGAAGUCCCCGUCUAUCUUUUAUGUCCUACUGUUUUCUUUCAUUCAAACAAUUAUAUUUUUUUCAGACUAUUACUCGUAGUAAAUUCUAGAAU